GUGCGCGGACGGGUGAGUAACACGUGGGUAACCUACCUAUAAGACUGGGAUAACUUCGGGAAACCGGAGCUAAUACCGGAUAAUAUUUCGAACCGCAUGGUUCGAUAGUGAAAGGUGGUUUUGCUAUCACUUAUAGAUGGACCCGCGCCGUAUUAGCUAGUUGGUAAGGUAACGGCUUACCAAGGCGACGAUACGUAGCCGACCUGAGAGGGUGAUCGGCCACACUGGAACUGAGACACGGUCCAGACUCCUACGGGAGGCAGCAGCC
rnacentral:rRNA from 1 species